rnacentral:lncRNA from 1 species
GCUAACAAAGCUUCCAUACAACAAAUAUAGUUGACCUACUACUUAUAGUUUAAGAAAAAUAGACCAAAACACAAAAACUUAACACUGAGCAAUGAACCGUGCAAUUGAGGUCAUGGUCAAAUAAAACCUGCGGGACUGACAUAUAGAUCAUAAAUAUUUCCAUACACCAAAUAUAGUUGACCUUUGGCAUAUAAUAUUAGAUAUAAUAAAAGACCAAAACUUAUAAACUUAACUUUGACCACUGAACCAUGAAAACGAGGUCAAGGUCAGAUGACAUCUGCCCGCUAGACAUGUACACCUUACAAUCAUUCCAUACAACAAAUAUAGUAGACCUAUUGCAUAAAGUAUGAGAAAAACAGACCAAAACACAAAAACUUAACUAUAACCACUGAACCAUGAAAAUGAGGUCAAGGUCAGAUGACACCUGCCAGUUGGACAUGUACACCUUCUAGUCCUUCCAUACACCAAAUAUAUUAGCCCUAUUGCUUAUAGUAUCUGAGAUAUGGACUUGACCACCAAAACUUAACCUUGUUCACUGAUCCAUGAAAUGAGGUCGAGGUCAAGUGAAAACUGUCUGACGGGCAUGAGGACCUUGCAAGGUACGCACAUACCAAAUAUAGUUAUCCUAUUACUUAUAAUAAGAGAGAAUUUAACAUUACAAAAAUUCCGAACUUUUUUUUCAAGUGGUCACUGAACCAUGAAAAUGAGGUCAAGGACAUUGGACAUGUGACUGACGGAAACUUCGUAACAUGAGGCAUCUAUAUACAAAGUAUGAAGCAUCCAGGUCUUUCAC